UACGUAGGGUGCAAGCGUUGUCCGGAAUUAUUGGGCGUAAAGAGCUUGUAGGCGGUUUGUCGCGUCUGCUGUGAAAUUUCGGGGCUCAACCCCGAACUUGCAGUGGGUACGGGCAGACUAGAGUGUGGUAGGGGAGACUGGAAUUCCUGGUGUAGCGGUGAAAUGCGCAGAUAUCAGGAGGAGCACCGGUGGCGAAGGCGGGUCUCUGGGCCGAUACUGACGCUGAGGAGCGAAAGCGUGGGGAGCGAACAGG
rnacentral:rRNA from 1 species